CCCAGGCGGGCGGGCGGACGGGCUCCCCACGCCGCAGCCGCCGCCCCGGGCGGAGGGCACGGCGGUUCCCACGCUCCGGCCUGGGCCGGGGGCGUUCUUGGGAUGGCGUGGCCGCGCUCUCCACCGCCGCGGAGGCCAGGCUGUAAUUAGGAUGAGUAAAGGGAGGCACAAAGAGAUUAAGUAACUUGCCCAAGAUCCUGCAGUAGUAAGCGGUUGGCUGGAUUGAUGGGACCAGAAUAUGGGCCGUGACCACAGCGAGGAUGGAGAGAAGAGGUCAAGACCUGGAACCUGGCCAACUUAGAGCGUGGACUUUUCACUGUGAGCUCUCAGGGAAGCCCUACUGGGAAACCUCAAUGUUUCCAUCCUGUAUGUGCUGGACCCCAACCCUUGGUCACAGGCUCUGACUGUGAAUGAUGCGAAUCCACAAGAGGACCACCAAUGCACUCCUGUGCAUCCACUGGGAUGGAUGGAAUCAGCUACACAGUCUAUAAUUCUUAGUAUCAUAGUUUUCUUUCCUUCAGCUCUUUGAGGGUUGUGUAAACUGCAGUUCUCAACCUUUGUAUGUUUGUUUGAGAAAUUUUGAAGUCUUUGUGGUUUUAUUCUUCUCCUUGUUAUUUUUGUUAUACUAGGAAAGUAUUUUGGAUUUACAGAGGAGUUGUAAAAAUGGUACAGAGAGUUCACGCACUUCCUUUAAUGUUACGUUAAAGUUUCAUAAUCAGGGCACAUUCAUCAAAGCUAAGAAAUUGACAUUGGUGCAACACUAUUAACUACUGGCUUUAUUCAGAUUUCACCAGUUUUCCUGCUAAUGUCCUUCUUCCGUUCCAGGAUCCCAUCUAAGACCCUGCAUUAACAUGUUUCUCCUGCCUCUGCCAUUCUGUCACAGUUUCUCAGUCUUUCCUUGUUUUUUCAUGACUUUGACUUUUGAAGAGCACUUAUCAAGUAUUUUGUAGAAUAUCCCCAAGAUUCUGUCAGAUGUUUUUCAAGAUUAGACUGGGAUUAUGGAUUUGGGGGAAGAAUACCCCAGAGGUGAGGUGGGAUAUGUGAUAUUAACAUGCCUUCCUUGUUGUCAAUCCCCUGGUUAAAGUAAUUAACCUUAACCUCCCAGAUUUCUCAACUGUGAAGUUAUUAUUUUUCCACUUUUCAUCCUCUAGAAGCAAGUCAUUAAGUCCAGUCACAGGGAAAGAGAAUUAAGCUCCACUUCCCAGAGGGAGGCGUAUCAAAGAACUUGGGGACGUCUGUUAAAACCACUAUGGUAAUUAGUAUUUUGAAGAAGAUACUCUGAG
ensembl:lncRNA